ACACGGUUUAAAGUUGUUUUUUAUUCCUAAAAGUACAGUUUACAGAUGAUGUUUAUUCGUACAGGCAAACAAUAAGUAGUAUUUUCUACGUCUUUUAGAGAAUGCUAUUAUUAAUACAUAGUACGUAAAGACCGCCUAAAAGGAGAGGCCUAGGUCACCCCUUGUAUAAGAUGUUUGGCCAUUAUUCUGGUUUACAAGAUUGGUUUCCCAUUAUCCUAUUAAAGAUUUGAAUUUGAAGAAUUGUUAGAUGAAUAUAGGGAUCCAAGGCAGUAAAAUUUAUCCUUUGGAUGAAUAUAAGCAACAAUGCAUCUGGACAUAUUAAUGAUAACGUGAUAACGCAGCUACCUAUGGUUAAGUGUUAGAAGUUUAUAUUUCAAUUUACAUAGUCACAGUUUAAGAAAUAGAAUUAUAUAUUUAUUAUAACAUAUUAUAAUAAACGUAAGAAGAAAUGAGACUUGACUUAUUAACCAUAUAUAACAAAAAGUGUUAACAGCUUCUACAAUAUUAUGUAAAUUGGGUAUUUCAUGCUAUUGUGCAUGUAUACAGUGAAGAAAUAAGAAGAAAAUCUUUCAUUUACAUCUUAACAAAGCGUCCUGUCUUUUCAAAUUUUUCCUUUGGCGCGCUUAAUUGAUUACAGCGCCAUACUUGUUUAGUGAAAAUAUUUGGAACUAUUUUCUAAUCGAUUCUGACGCCACCGUACGGAAAGUUUUAAAAAUCUAAUAAUACAGCGAGGAGAGCUUGCUAUGAGCAAGAAAGGAAAAUACAUCAAGUAAAAUGGAGAGAAAUAAGAUUUUCUUUUGAGAAAAUAUCUUCAGGUCAAAGAAUAAUUUCAUAAGAACACCUCACUGAUUGUACCCUGCUCUUCAAUGAAAAUGUGUGCCAAAAAAAGAGUAAACCUGAAGCAACAAUAUUGGAAUCAACAAAACAGCGAGAUGGUUUCAGCUUUCAAAUCAUUCCUGCAAAUACCUCUUUCAAAAAUUAUAUUCUCGAACAUUGAAAUCCAUUCUAUGAUGUACCUCCCAAACCUGCUUUUUUCUUUGAUAUAAAGAUGAUUUGAAAUUACUAUUUUCUAAAUGCAGUAUUGUUAUGAAGAUAUGAUUGCAGUAUAUAAUAUAAGAAAUAUCUGCAAGUACUGGAAAUAUGGACAUACGGUAUACAUCAGAAAGAAAACGGUAUAGACGAAUCUAUAAUCGAAGGACUUUCAUUCUAGUUGGCUGUUUAUAUGUCUAAAAAUAAAUCUAUAAUUAUUAUAUUAAUGUUAAUUGUAUUUAUAAAC
rnacentral:lncRNA from 1 species